AGCAAUGAACAUAUGGCUGUUACUAUCAGCACUGGUGUAUUUGCAGCGAUGCCUAUCAACAUCCACCAGAGAGCAGGGCAGCUCCAAAACCCACAUCUUUCAUGCUGUGGAAAUUGAUGGAGACAGCAACACAGCCAGCUUCUUGGCCAAACAACAUGGAAUGCAGUUCAUUUCAAAGCCUGUAAGGCUUGUGCAUGAUGUAUAUGAGAGCGAUUUCCAGCAGAGAGAAGCUUAUCACAGAUCCACCUAA
rnacentral:lncRNA from 1 species